rnacentral:lncRNA from 1 species
GAAAGAAAGAAAAAAAAUUAGCUGGGUAUGGUGGUGUGCACCUGUAAUCCCAUCUACUUGGGAGGCUGAGGCACCAGAAUUGCUUGAACCCGGGAGGUGGAGGUUGCAGUGAGCCGAGAUCAUGCCACUAUACUUCAGCCUGGGUAACAAAGCACUACUCUGUCAAAAAUUUUAGUCAUUCUAAUAGGUGUGUUUUAAAAUUUGCAUUUCUCUAAUGGCUAAUGAUGUUGAACAUCUUUUCUUUUUUGCCCCAAGGUCCCUGGCCCGUCUGCCCUCUUCUUUCUACCUUUCAGAGCCUUCUUAUGUUUACUGUAUAUACAAAGUCCAUGGUUUUGAGCUGCACUCAGUGGGAAGAAUAGGGGAAAGUAUCUUCCCGGAAGCAGAAGUCCCCCAUUG